rnacentral:misc_RNA from 1 species
GAUGAAGAACGCAGCGAAAUGCGAUAAGUAAUGUGAAUUGCAGAAUUCAGCGAAUCAUCGAAUCUUUGAACGCACAUUGCGCCCGCCAGUAUUCUGGCGGGCAUGCCUGUUCGAGCGUCAUUUCAACCAUCAAGCCCCCGGCUUGUGUUGGGGACCUGCGGCUGCCGCAGGCCCUGAAAACCAGUGGCGGGCUCGCUAGUCACUCCGAGCGUAGUAAUACAUCUCGCUCAGGGCGUGCUGCGGGUUCCGGCCGUUAAAAGCCUUAUUUACCCAAGGUUGACCUCGGAUCAGGUAGGAAGACCCGCUGAACUUAAGCAUAUCAAUAAGCGGAGGA